GCGCUCUUCGCGCCUCAGGGCUUGCGUUUCGCAGCGGACCGGCUUCUGUGUUUGUCUGAGAAGAAAGAAGUUUGUCUUCUGUGUGACGAGACCUCAAAAAUACAGCAGAUGGAUGUACCAAGACUGGUAACACAAUGGAAGAAACAAAAAUAGGAAGAGACUGAGGAAACAGCAGUGAAUGAAAAAACUUCACUUCUACAGAUCAGGCCUGUCCAGCAACGUUCAUUUCUACCUUCAGUCUGCUCAAUAUUUAUGGGAAGUGAAACAGCCUCAACAGACGACAGUGGAAUUACGUCUCUACUACACAAUCUGCUAACAUACAUGGAUGUCAGCACAAGCGACCCAGGGCUCUGGAAGCACUUCUGCCAUGUUUGUCUGGCGCUACGUGGAGGGUAAGUGCCCUGCUGGAGGACAGGGUACCUUAGCUUGGGUGCAGCUCUGUGUUACGUGGCUGCAUCACCUCCCAUGCAAACGCUGCCACGUUCGGAGCUCAGUUCGGUGUCUUGGCACGAUGCAACAUUGUGUAGGACAGACAAUCACACAGUCUCAGCAAAUUCCUGCUCCAGGACAGGCAAGAAAUAGAUUUGACCUCGGACUACCCAAAUAUCAGUGAACAUUGUUAGAUAUUAAUUAGUCUUGUGGGUUUACUCUCGUCUUCUAUCAUAUCUUACAUAUAUCUUUAUCUUUACUUAGUAGGAAAAAGCACAUGAAUGUCAGAGGUGACAAUCGUAUUUUCAUGUAUUCUGCCAACUUGUUCUUUCUCUUUUGCCUUUCCUCACCUGUCACCCAUUUUAUCAUUCUGUCUUCAUCUCUUCCUCUUCUUUUUCACUCACGUUUCUUUCUGUUUUCAUCAAAGCCUAAAAUUUGAACCUUUCUUCUGCUGUUGUCCAUUUCUUUUCCUUAUGUUUCUGACUUUUCUCUAUCAUCUGUAUUCUUGUUUCUAUUUCUUCCAUAUUUCGUCUGUUUGCAUUAAUCCUCAACCCCUCCUUUCGAUAGUUCUUGAAAAUAUUUAGUUUCUGAAAAUUGCCCAUUUCUUCCCCACUGCCAAAAGCAGCAUCUUAACUAUUGAGAAGAAGAGCUCCUUGCAGAUGUACCAACUCAGCAGAGCAGGAAACAGCCAGGGCUGGGGGUAUUACUGCACUGUCUCAGGCUUGAAGAAGUGGGCACAUACACUUGUGGAACACAAUGCAAAUAACAGGUUAAAACACCCUCAGUUUUUAGGGCUCAGAUGAUGAGUCUUGUUGCAACAAACCACUGGUGAAAUCAGGAAAUGUUAUGUCUAAUAUGCCAGACAGGGUAUC
ensembl:lncRNA